UACGGGGGGGGUAAGCGUUGUUCGGAAUUACUGGGCGUAAAGGGCUCGUAGGCGGCCAACUAAGUCAGACGUGAAAUCCCUCAGCUUAACUGGGGAACUGCGUCUGAUACUGGAUGGCUUGGAUUUGGGAGAGGGAUGCGGAAUUCCAGGUGUAGCGGUGAAAUGCGUAGAUAUCUGGAGGAACACCGGUGGCGAAGGCGGCUUGCUGGGCUUUGUCUGACGCUGAGGCGCGAAAGCGUGGGGAGCGAACAGG
rnacentral:rRNA from 1 species